GUCUCUUUAUCUCUUACUCUGUCUCUAUCUCUCUCUCUGUCUCUCUGUGUGUGUGAGUGGGCAUGAAAAAAAAAAAAAAAAAAAAAAACUAAGACGAGUCACGGUCAGCCAUUGCCUCUUUGUUCUAGAAAUGUAUGGGUCGCGCUACUACUCGGAGACAGAGGACGAAUCAGCAAGGAGCUUUCUGAGGUUGUGUUUUCCUCUCAGGUCAAAAGUAAGAGCCUCCAAGAGGCACCAUGACUCCCUCUUCUGUGUGGCCACAAGGAUAUUUCCCUUCGUAGAUUCCAAGUAACCAAAAGAGAAGACCACAUCUCAGCCAUAUUUCUUCCCUCCUGCUUCUUGUGUGUCUGUCUGUACGUUCUAGAAUGUUGGGCAACAUCCUUAGGCAGGGCCCACCAGAUUCCAGGAUAUGACCGAUGGUCACUGUCGCGAACUGUCGUGAAACGAAGCAGAGAGCAAAUCCUUGAACUCGGAGGAGAGGUUCUAACAGUUUAUUUAUUCAUAAACAGCAAUAAGCAAAUAAAUGGCGAAAUGGGCCCACAGUCGUUCACACACACGCACACGCAUGUACGCGCGUGCUCCUCACUAACGUUUCCGGCUUAGCUGCCGUGGCCUGGCUCUGUGGUCCGAGACUCGAUGUUUCCUGCUUUCCGAUCCUCUGGAGCUGAGCUGCAGUGGUGCUGGCUUGUUGUCUGCGUGGGGGUCCGUGGGCGUGGAGACCGCGUGGGUUGGGCCCGGGGAUCUGAGCGAUUUUGCCAUACCAGACCAUAGUUUUUAAGCUUAAUUCAGCCAAUCAAAACUGAGGCGUUCCACACAUUACUUCAUGAGUUUUAUCAUCCGCGCGCACACACGCACUCUCUUUGGCUUGGUUUUCAUAGAUAUCUAGGGCCAAGGCGUUGCCCCAUCGUUGGUUCGGGCUGCAGGCAUGAGUUGUUCUUAUCACUCGCACCCACUCUGGGGCUGCGGGCUACAGGCAGCGGCGGUACAGCACUGGGGAAAAUGCCUUCUGAGGCCGUGUAUUCUUUAUAGUCACACUUGCAACAUGGUCCGGGUGGAUACUGGUUAAGUGUGUCCCACAGUUUCAUGUGUCUGCAGCUUGUUCCUUGUAUGGUGGGGGAGUCUCCGAGUGAUGGAGACCAACCCAAGGUAGUUAGGUCACUCUCCCUGGCCAGUCAGUCACAAUACCCCAAAAUGUCUGUAGAUAUUGCCCAAUGUCCCUUGGGAAGAACUGCCCACACCCCUGAGGGGCUCCUGGGCCCUGCGGUGAGUUCAUAUUUUAGUUCACUAUUCCAGGAACCACUGCUGGGACCCAGUAACAUUCAGCGGAGAGGAGGCCUUCUUCAUCCAGACUUUGUGGCUUUCAGGCUAAAAGCCCUCCUCCACCCUCCUCCCCGGACCCAAGAGACAAGUCACCUAAUAAAGCAGCCAACUGCAGCUUUAACGAGGUCGGGCUUCCUCCUCAGGGGACUGAAAGUGAAAUUCUAGACUCUGCUCUCUGCCUGGUCUUACUCCUGGGAAUG
rnacentral:lncRNA from 1 species